rnacentral:misc_RNA from 1 species
GAUGAAGAACGUAGCGAAAUGCGAUACUUGGUGUGAAUUGCAGAAUCCCGUGAACCAUCGAGUCUUUGAACGCAAGUUGCGCCCGAAGCCAUUAGGCCGAGGGCACGCCUGCCUGGGUGUCACACGUCGUUGCCCCCCCAUCUACUCCUUCGGGAUUGCGGGGGGCGGAUGAUGGCCUCCCGUGCGCCUCGUCGCGCGGUUGGCAUAAAUGCCAAGUCCUCGGCGACGCACGCCACGACAAUCGGUGGUUGCGAAACCUCGGUUGCCCGUCGUGUGCGGUCGUCGCGCAUCGAGGGCUCGAAAAAAUUGCCGGGCUCCGGCUCGGCUUUCAACGCGACCCCAAGUCAGGCGGGGUUACCCGCUGAAUUUAAGCAUAUUAAUAAGCGGAGGA